AACAAAGAUCGAUUACGGUCGGAACGGAAACUUUAAUGAGGCACAAAACGUAAACUUAUCGUCGAAAUCUUUCUCGCUGGGGAAGGAGAGAAAUCAAACACGUUGAAAAGCGUUUAAAAAAUGUAAAACACUUUUGAUAAAAGUUCUUAAGGAUCUGCUGCCAUCCCUCCCUUAUCCCGCGGUCCGCCGAAAUAAAUUUCGUUGUACUACACAAAUAUUUCACGUGGCGCCCCACCAUUUAAAGUUAGUUCGAGAAACUGCUUAGCAUCUACUUAUUCACUAGAUUUUUCAACAUGAACAUCGGAGCUACGAGUUAUCCAGCCGGUCCGCGCUUCCAGACAGACGUAUAGAUCGCGGCCCAUAAAUAACGAGGAAGGGAAAGGCCCUCGUCUUUAAUACGAUCCCCGUUUCCCAAACUCAUAACCGUUGAUCUUCCGCUGGAAAUUCACGAGGAAACGCGACAAAAGUUCACCGUGCACGAUGCACACGAUGUAACAUUCAACAAACCGGUAGACAAUGUUCCAAACUAUACAACAUACAUUUUGACAAGUUCCAGUUUCGCUUCGCAAGCAGCCGGAAAUUGAACACCGGCUGUGUUUCCUGUAUCCACGGCGGCGAGCCAGAUUCCGCGAUGGUAGUUUUACCGCGCUUUCAAGACAAACCCUGAGACGACGAAACGGAUUUACACGACAAACUUAUCACGUAAAAAGAAAACAAGUCCAAAUU
rnacentral:lncRNA from 1 species